rnacentral:rRNA from 1 species
UACGUUCCCGGGUCUUGUACACACCGCCCGUCACACCGUGGGAGCGGGUUUUACCAGAAGUAGGUAGCUUAACCGCAAGGAGGGCGCUUACCACGGUAGGAUUCGUGACUGGGGUG